AUGGCGAGGGCGGCGACGGGCGACGUUGGGAUGGCGAGGGUGGCCUCGGACGGGAACCCCUACGUGCUGUCGGCGACGCCGUGUGGGUCGAGCACGGGGUCGGCGAUCGCGGCAGCGGCAAGCAUGGCGGCGGUGACGCUGGGAACGGAGACGGACGGUUCGAUACUCUGCCCGGCGUCGCUCAACUCGGUGGUGGGGAUCAAGCCGACGGUGGGGUUGACCAGCCGGGCUGGGGUUAUCCCCAUCACACCACGCCAAGAUACUGUCGGGCCGAUUUGCCGCACGGUGGCUGAUGCGGUCCACGUGCUGGACGCCAUCACUGGCUAUGACGCCCUUGACUCUACUGCCACGAUGGCAGCUUCCAAGUACAUCCCUCGUGGUGGAUACAUGCAGUUCUUGAAAAAAGAUGGCCUUAGAGGGAAGAGGCUCGGCGUUCCUAAUGGCUUCUUCAACUUUCCAAAUGGGACUAUGCAACAGAUAGUCUAUGAGCAACAUCUCAACACAAUGAGGUGGUAA
rnacentral:rRNA from 1 species